UUUAUUAUGAGAACAAUUUUAUUUAGUUAAGAAAAGAAUUAUACUAUUUUGAAUUUGAAUUACCAAGAAAAGGUUUAUGUUCAAGUUUGAAUUAUUUAUAAAAGAAGUUAUGUUUUGAGAUUUAUUCAAUAUGAAGAGAGUUAUGCCUGGGGUUCGAAAUAAAGGAUU